AGAGUUUGAUCCUGGCUCAGGACGAACGCUGGCGGCGUGCUUAACACAUGCAAGUGGAGCGACGAACCAGGGCUUGCCCUGGGGCAGAGCCGCGAACGGGUGAGUAACACGUGGGUUACCUGCCCCGAUGACCGGGACAACCCGAGGAAACUCGGGCUAAUACCGGAUGUGGUCUUCGGACGAAAGGAAGCUUCGGCCUCCGCAUCGGGAUGGGCCCGCGGCGCAUUAGCUUGUUGGUGGGGUAACGGCCCACCAAGGCUACGAUGCGUAGCUGGUCUGAGAGGACGAUCAGCCACACUGGGACUGAGACACGGCCCAGACUCCUACGGGAGGCAGCAGUGGGGAAUCUUGCGCAAUGCGCGAAAGCGUGACGCAGCAACGCCGCGUGGGGGAAGAAGGCCUUCGGGUUGUAAACCUCUUUCAGUUGGGACGAAGCUCCGUCGGUUAAUAGCCGGCUGGGGUGACGGUACCUUCAGAAGAAGCACCGGCUAACCUUCGUGCCAGCAGCCGCGGUAAUACGAAGGGUGCAAGCGUUAAUCGGAAUUACUGGGCGUAAUUGGUGUGUAGGUGGUCCUGUAAAGUCUCUCCCCCCCCCCCCUGGGGCUCAAAUCUGGGAAUGGGCCGUGGAUACUNGCGGGCCUCCAGUACGGUANAAGGUGGUGGAAUUCCCGGUGUANCGGUGAAAUGCNUGGAAAUCCGGAG
rnacentral:rRNA from 1 species